UAGUUGUAUAACCUGAUGAUUCUUAGAACAUACCCAGAUUAACUAGCAAAGAUGCUUGAUUUACGAGGCGAUUCAAGCAAGAUGUGAAGUUACAUAAAUCAAGUGGAUCGGGUAUUCUGACAUUCUGAUUUGAUCAUAAUAUGAGGGGUUUACUAGCAUCAUUGGUCCAUGUUGGUGCCGGAAUUUCAAACAAUUAUUAAUUGUUUAAUAGCCAAAUUGAAAAAAAAAAAAAAAAAAGAAGGGGGGAAUCAAACCCUAAUUUGAAAGACUCGUAAAUAUCUUUUGAUGGACUUGCUGCAUCACAGAUCAACUCAACCCCAGAACUCUUACAUGGAAUGCAAAUUCAAUAAGCAAGAUUCAUCAAUAAAAUGGUAUCCAAACUUAAAAAAAAAAAAAGUGGUAAAAAGAAAAGAAAAAAAAAAGAAAGAGAUGUGUAGAUUAGUAUGGAUUAAGAGGAGAUUGGAAUUGGACCUGGGAAGAGAAGAACUUGGCAGCGACGGCGGCGAGGGCGGCGUUGAUGCCGGCGGCAAGAGCCCAGCCGUAGCCGCGCCGGUGAUCGCCGGCGGCCAUUAAAUGAAGAGAGGAGAGAGAGAGAGAGAGAGAGAGAGAGAGAGAGAGAGAGAGCCCUAAUUCUAUGAAAUGGAUUCGUUACUUUGUUGGGUUGAACCCAACACGCCCAAUCCAAACCGUUCGAUGAGUCUGAUCAGAUUGGGCUCGACAAUUUAGAUUUUCGAAUUAAUCUACAAAAAAAUGCCCCGACAUUUCACCUUAUGUAAGCGUACAGAUAACAUUAUCCAAUUUUUUUAAAAAAAAAUUACUACCUGUAUACUGUUAAUAAAAUCAUAAAUUUUACAUCCUUGAAUCUACAGUUUCAUAAAAUUUCAUUAAACUUUUAAUAAAAGAUAAAAAAGUAUUGAUCAGACUGCUCAGUUGAUAAUUACCAUAUAAAAUUUAGAAUAUAAAAUUUGAAGGUGUAUAUGUAGUAUUCCUCAAAAUUUUGAACUAUAUCAAUCCUGCACUUUAGCCUUCUGUCAAAUAAUUUAAUAAUUUAAGAAUUCUAUUAAUAUUUUGACGAAAGUGUUAACGGUAAUGACGUAGCAAGAUCAUUGCAUAUUAAAACCAAUUAAAUUCUUGCACGUAAAUACUUUAUCAAGGUUCAUCUUGGAUGUUGAUUUAAAGGGUGUUUGAACGAGCUUAAAUGAACUUAAAGAUGUGCCAUCUAAAAAGUACCUUGUUAAAAUUAACAAAAAAUUCUGACGAAAUGGCUUAAUUGAGACAAAAAUUUAAAAUUUUUAUGCCGUACAUAUUUGAGAUAUAGGGUAAAGUGUUGCGAUAGUUUUAUAAUUAAGCCUACUAUUUUAGGGUUGAAUGUAAGCAAUCAAUUCAAAAUUUUGAAUCUAUUUGAAGAGAAAAAUUAGAAAUAAUUUUCCCAACACUCUUCUAUCAAAUUGGAAGUUUAUAAGCGGCCCUUGAAAAUUCAAAAUAUAAAUAUCUGUUUUUUUACAUUAACUCUUUGGCUUUUAAAAACUUAUAUUUUGUGUCCUUAAAAUUUUAAAAUAUUUUCAAAGGGUUGCGGCGUAGAUGACAAAAUGACCAAAUUAUCUUUAUUUUGAAAGGCAUUUUCAGUAUAAAUUAUAAGAAAUAAAUGGAAUAGUAAUGAAAUCCUGAAGGAGGGGGGCUUAAUAUAACAAUUUAAAAUAUUAAGGGGGUAAAAUAUAUGUUUUUGAAAAUUAUGGAGGAAAAGUGAAAAAGGCGAAUAUUUAUAAAUCGGUUUCUGUAACUUAGCCUAUUUUAAAUUAAUCAAAUUACAAUAAUUGACCACACACUUAAUAAAGAAUAAAAAAAUAUUCUAUAAGCUAGGAAAUGAAAAGCUAAAUCCUAAAAAAAAAAAAAAAUUGAAAAAUAGCAUGCACUAAUAUGUUGCCCCACAAUGGAUAGUAGAGUAUAAAAUCUUUAUUUUAUUAAUUUCUUAGUGUCUAAUUCUUUUUUAAAUUAGGCAAGCUUACAAAAGUUGCCACUAUGUAUCAGUGAUAAAUUUGUAUAUUUAGAGAAGUAAACAUGAUAUUUUAAAUUUUAAAGUAUAUUUAAGAAAUUUCGAAACUUUUAAAAAGUAUGUUGGAUAUUGCCUCAAAAACUUAAUAUAAUAUUUAUUUAAGGUUAAAAUACGUAUAAUCUGUUCAAUAUAUUACAUAAGGUAUUUUACCUUUAAGAUAUAAAACAUAUGCACUUAACCCCACCCAUAAUAUGAAAUAUAUCUUAAAAAUAAUAAUAAAAUAACCAAGUAUGUCUAUAUAUAAAUAUUUUUUCAUCCUGAAAGGGAUAAAGUGUAUAAGUGCCAACGACAUAAAUUUCUAAAGGAAUUAAGAAUAUAUAUUUUUUUGUCCAAGGAGUUAAGUAUAACAUGUUAUAUAUUGAAGCGAAUAAAGUAUAUUUUAUCUAAUUUUUAAUGUGCAAAAUAAUUGAGGUAAACUAAAAUGCAAGAGGCCUUUUGUAAUUUAGCCUAAUUUUUAAGAAUUAAUACGUAAUAGAGCAAUUAAUCUGUAUGAAUUUUGAAUUCAAUUUACAAAUUUAUUCAAAUUACAUAUUUAGAAAUUAAGAGGGCAAUGAUGUUCAGGAACAGAAAAAAAAUUGAAUGAACCUAUUUCAAAUUGCCUACAAUUGUGAGAGUACGGAUGCAAAUGGGGCAGAUCCGGAGGCAGAAGGGUUCUCCACCUCCCGCACUAUUUCUUGUCGGGGCGGGACAGAUUCGAAGCAGGUUAUAUUUUAUUUUAUUUUUAUCUCCCACUUACCGCUUUAUUCGGGACAGGAGCGGAUUUUUGACGAAUUUUUAACCGAUCGGGACGGAUUAAAGGAAGAAAAGGAUUUACCGUCUGCCGCUCUAUUUAUUUAACGGAUCGGAAUAAAUUCGGGACAGAGUUAUAUUUUUCUAUAAUUUUAAUUUUCACUUACCAUCUCAUUCGGAGCGGAUUGGAGCGGGAGCUCCGCUAACUGAGAUCCAUUUGCAUCCCUAGCUGAGAGGGACUUCAUAGAAUCAUUGUUGAGAUUUUGAAGCGCCGGUCUAUAGGCCGCGGUCCACGCAACAACUCCACUGUGUUUUCAGUUGAACGGCGACCAAUCAGAUUAGAGCACACCGAUCGGGCUCCCAACCGUCCGAUCACCCCUUCAAAAUCGUACGGUGGGGCCCACAACGUUCUGGACGUUUCUCCUCUCCCUCCACUCCACUGCUCCACUACCAUUCCCUCCACCUCUAUAAAUAGUAGCCCACGACACUGAGCUACGAGCUCCCGCAGCCCCCUCCCCCACUCUACUCCGAACCCCUGUUUUCAGAAACCCUAGCACAGCAUACGCGACCUCCCCCUCGUCCUUCUCUUUCCUGUCCCUCCUCCAUGGCUCGCACGAAGCAAACCGCUCGCAAAUCCACCGGUGGAAAGGCUCCUCGCUAGGUCCUCGCCACCAAGGUGAUCGCCCCCUUCGAUGUCUCCUUUUCUAGAUCGAUCUCUCCCUAGGGUUUUGUUUACAAUUUUGAGCUCAAACAUCGAUCUCUGAUUUCUUCUUUGCCGUAUGGAUCGAUCUCUUCCAUCUCUCUAACAUGCUAGCGUUCUUUUACGAUCUCGAGCUCAAAGCUCGAUUCUAAUGGGUGUGUAAUCACUAUGUGUAUCUGAUCGUCUUCUCAAUCUGUUGGACAUGAAUACGAUACGAUUUCUAGCUUAACGAUCGAACUCUUAUAUGUCUAUGAAAUGUGUAUCUGAUCAUCUUCUUUGUUGAUUGGAGCGAUCGAUCUCUCCUGUUCCAUCAAUCCAUCCCUGUAGCUAGGGUUUUGUAUCUGAUCAUCUUCUUUGUUUGUCGGAUCGGAUCGGUGGACUGAUCGAAGGCGGCGAGGAAGUCGGCGCCGACGACGGGAGGGGUGAAGAGGCCGCACAGGUUCCGGCCCGGCACGGUGGCUCUGCGUGAGAUCCGAAAGUACCAGAAGAGCACGGAGCUGCUGGUGCGGAAGCUGCCGUUCCAGCGGCUGGUGCGCGAGGUCGCUCAGGACUUCAAGUACGACCUCCGCUUCCAGAGCCACGCCGUGCUCGCCCUCCAGGAAGCCGCCGAGGCCUACCUCGUCGGCCUCUUCGAGGACGCCAACCUCUGCGCCAUCCACGCCCGCCACGUCACCAUCAUGCCCAGGGACAUCCAACUCGCCCGCCGCAUCCGCGGUGAGCGCGCUUAAUCGAUCGGUAUCGUUUACCCCUCGACCCCUCCCGAUCACAUUUUCUUACUACACUAGCUGCAUGCGUCGUAUGACCUACAGUAUAGUAACAUCAUACAUGAUAGUACUCGGUCCCUCUCAUAGCAUAUCUCGACAUAGACGAUACUGUUACCUCACCCUUCUACGUGGAUACGGAUGUUUUCCCGUACUGAUGAUGCUGAUGAUAUACUCUAUUAUAUACAUAUAUGUGAGAGUUUUGCCUCGUUUCUUCGUAUGUUCUCCUGUUUCCUGAUUUGGUUAAUUCCUUUGUUAAUACUCUCGUAUACGAUCGAGUGCUGUGGAAACUACUUACACUGCAGUGAUGUGGAACAUUGAUCGUACCUUUUUGUUUUCGAAAAGUAUGUGUUUUUUUGUUCUCCGUCACAGCUUUUUUCCAUUUUUCGUUAUUUCCUUGCAUUUUCCGCUUGUUUUUCACUUGUGAGCUACUGAGCUUGCUUGACGUUUGAUAUAUAUACAGCGGUGAGUAUUUCUUUUUUUUUUUUUGUCUCUUUUUUAUUUUAUUUUUCUUUUCUAGAAGUGAAGAACUAUCCAACUGGAAGUGUGGAGCUAUGCUAUAGGCAGUGGACGGAGAAAAGGCAAAGGUAAAAUAAUAUGUUCAUCCGUAAAAUAGAGCAGUUUAGGAGUAAUAAUAUCGAGUUAUACUCCUAAAUGUCCCAAAAUAAAAUUGGAAAUAGUUAAUUUUUUUUCUCCUUUUCUUUUUAUCUAGCGUUUGAAUAGGUGCACUUCGGGAUGUCUCAAUGAGUAAUGUUUUUUUCAAAACGUUUUUUCAAGGAAAAUUUAUAUAAAAAAUAAUGUCAGAGAAAAUGAUAGACUACUUGUAAUCUCUAUAUCCAAAAUAUUUAUUAUAAUAGAGAAUAAAAAAAAAUUGAGAAAAAAGUAGCACGCUAUCUGCUUUAUUCAUUGGAUAAAUGAACUAGACUAUAAGAGUCGGGCAAUUAGGCUCCUUAAAAAGAAAAAAAAAGAAAAAAAAAAGUUCAAGUAGAGAGGAGUGAAUCCCACUCCUUCACAAGCUGCUUGAGGUUAAGAAUAGCCUUCUUCAGGUCCGGUAGGAUUUUCCUAAAGAUCCAGUUGUUUCUGACCUUCCAAAUGAUCCAGCAUCCUAUUAAUUAAGUUUGUUAGGCUGUUUCUCUUCUUCUGUAUACACUUCCUGGCCGUCCAUCUGUCCCACACUAAGGUCAUCUCGUUCCCCAGGUCCUGAUUCCGGUUGGGUUUGGAUUCAAUUUUUUCUCGAAUUUGAAUUCGAAUAUGAAUUUUUCAAAUCCAUCGAAUUUAGGUUUGGAUUUGAAUUUUAGUUUUCAAAUUUUCAGUUUGGUAGUCGAAUUCAAGUUCAAGAUUCUGAAUUCGAGAUUUUAAAGACCUGCUCCGAAUUUGACCCCUGUUCACAUCCCUACACUCCAAUAAAAUUUAUUAAAAAGAAAAUAUUUACUUCAAAAUAUUUAUUAAAAAGAAAAUUUACUUCAAAAGUUUUUAAAACAAUUGUAAUCUGUCGACUUAUUGGAGUGUAGGGAUGUGAACAGAUUACAAUUGUUUUAAAUUAAUUUUGGUUCAGAUCGGAUUUGGAUUCAGGUUGUGCGCCAACAAAAUUCAUGCCUGAAUCAAAUUUGUAGGAUUUUGUUUUUUAUACAUGAUCUAAAAUUAUAUUUGUUUAGCAUCCAAUGAUUUUGUCCAAUUCGAAUUCGAAUUCGGAUAAAAUUUUGAAUAUCCGUCCCUACUGGAGAAAAUUUUAAAAUGUAGCAGUCAUAUUACUAAUGUGUGUCUUUAAUUAAUUAAAUUGGUCUUUUAAAUUUUAUCCAUCCCAUCUUAAUUUUUUUUAAAUUUUUUGAAAAUAUUUUUUAAACAAUAUUAUAAUUAGCUAGCUAUAGAUAAAACGGUGAAGCUGGAUUUCCUGCUAGGAACGAGUGUUAAAGUAAAUUAGGGGCGAGAGAUUCUUUUUGGUUGAUGGGAUGUUGGGAUGGGAUCGCGGGAAUGGAAUAUGCUUCUGAUGUUGAUGUUCAAAUCAAAUGGUUAGUUAUUUCACUGGUAUGAUCACGUCGAAGCUUCUAUUCAGUUGCGAUGGACGACUCGGAAAAUUGGAGAAGUUAAUGCUGUCUGACGCUUUGCGUAGAAAAGUCACGAGUACCAAAAUCAACUUUCAGGAGUAGUCUCCCUUAUUCGGGUUAAUGUCAUGAGCUAACUAACAAGAAAAGAAAAUUAAAACACCAAUGUAGGUGUACAAUUUAUUUUAGGUUGUAAUUUUUAAUUUAAUUUUUUUUACUUAUUUUAUUAUUUUAUUUUAAUUGAAAAUUAGAAAAAAAAAUAAAUCGUACGACUUUUGAAUGAAAGGUUGUAGAUUAUAAUUACCACAUCUUUGGACAGUAGAAUUAGUAUUUCUCAAAAUAUAAUUUGAUUUGACUAAUGAGUUUUUUAUAGUAUACUAGAAUAGUAACUUGCACAAUGCAGGGUACAUAUUACUAAAGUUAAAUUUCUAUCUUAGAUAAAGAGUAAAUAUAAAAAUAAUUCUAAAUAGUAAAAAUCAAAGCAUAGAUAAAAAAAAAAAAGUAAAAGUUUUAAAAGAGGAAGAAUAUAAGAAGAGGAUAGAAUUAAGAAAAAAUAAAACUAAGGUACAUUAUAUACAACUGUCGUUCAAUGCCUGAGUCAAAGAAGACAGAAAGAAAUACAUGCACAGACAAAAUAGAAACAACUGUAUAAUAGUUUAUAAUUCAUGUAUAGUACGGAUAGAAUAUUAAGAAAUAUGAAAAUUUCUACGACAACUACAAAUCUUAAAAGAAAAGUUGAUUUGUUAGCAUGUGGUGUUUUCUUUCUUCCAUGUUCAUGGUUAGGGAUGCAAACGGGGCGGAUCUGGGGCGGGAGGCUUCCGCCCCGUCUCCCGCCCCGAAUUCGUGACGGGUUAAAAAAUACAUUCCAUAAUCCGCCCCGCCUCGUAACUCGCCUCCCGCCGGCGGCCCGAAUCCGCCCCGCCAACUAAUAUUUUUUAUGAAAUUAUAAUAUUAUUAAUAUUUUAUAAAAUAUAAAUUAAUAAUUUUUAAUAAUAUUAUAUAUAUAAUUUAACAAUAUUAAUGGUAAAAAUUAAAAAUAUGAAUCACAAUUCAAAACAAAAUUCAAGUGUUUCAAAUACAUUAGAAAUGAGAGUAAUAAUUAAUUUGUAUUUUGAACUUUUUUUGUAAAUAUAUUAUUUUUUAGAAAUAUUUUUAAAAAAUACAAAUGAUAUUCGGAGUGGAUUCGGGGCGGAUUCGGGGCGGAACAUGGCGGGGCGGAUCAUGGCGGGGUGGAUUCGGGGCGGGUCAAAAUUUUUUCCGUUUUCUGUCCCGAAUCCGUCUCGGAUCGUAAAACUUAUCCCGUUUCUUGCCCCGAAUCCGUUUAUUUUCUCCCAUUUACUGCCCCCGUCGGGGCGGAUCGGGGCGGGAGCUCCACCAACCCGGAUCCGUUUGCAUCCCUAUUCAUGGUUAUGUAUAAAGGCACAUCUCUUUUUGUGCUUUAAAAUCAUUUGUUUGGCUUGCUUUAUUAACGUAGUUUAAUUGCAAAAUAUUUAAGCAAAAUAAUUCGCUAAUUAGGCAACAUGAAGCAUUUUCUCAUAUGUGGAGGCACACAAGUAGGCAAAUGGUUGUAAAUGGGCAUACCUUCCAAUUUUUGUUGCCCAUUAUUAAAGUAUUAUGGCCUUGGAAGCAAGAUAAUCAUAACCUGUAAAAGAAUUUAACGUAACGAAAUAUUAGUUAAUGAUUAGUCCAAAUAUAUUUUAUACAAAAUCCACUAAGAUAGUUCUUCAUAAAUAACCUGAUUUUCAUGUUGCCGGAAUCUUGAAUCAUUUGUCGAUUAGAGUACUUCAUCUUUAUUGGAAAACAUAUUUCUACCAAAAAUAACGCAAUCACCAACCCCUCCAUUAAUGGGGGGAGAGAGAGGAUGAAAGAGAAGAAGAAGAGAAAGGAAAAGAAAAGGAAGAGUUUAAGUAAAGAGAGGGUGAUUAGGGUUUCCAGAAGAGUUGCGGGUAGAUGAGAGGGUGUACGAUAAGUGGGAGAUGAGGGGACGUGAGGCUGGGGGUGUCCGUUUUGGAAAGAUAUGAGGGGAGGUGAGAGGGUGUAUAUUUUGGAAAGAGAUGAAAAGGGGUGAGAAAAAAUUCUAGAAUGCAACGGGUAUAUUAGUGACGUGGCGUAACAAACCAAUCAAAUUAAUCAUUUUAAGAAUAUAUGUCCCAUCGUGAUUGUAACAAAAUAUUUUUAUUAUACUUUUGUUUGAAAAGAAGGAAUGUGAUUGGCUUGUUAUUGAUGACGUUGUGCAUGUGUGACAGUGUAGAAUUCCUCAGGGGUGAGGGGGUGAAGGGGAUGAAAUGGAACUAUAGAAAUACUGCAGUUGAAUAAGGAGAGUCCGUUCAGUUCAAGGAAGGUGAAAAGGCGGAGAGAUGCAACUGAAAAUUUAGUUCAAAAGUGAGGAUAUAUUAUUGGACUAAAUCCAAGAAUGAAAAGGAUAGAAAAAUCGAACCGAAUCCAAAAAAGAACCUAGCAGGUGAAGAUGGUUAAAGGGAAUAGAAAAUCUAGUUCGUUUUCAAGUGAAUAGAAAAUCUGGUUCAAAAGUGAAAAAAUAUUACUGGAUCGAAUCCAAGAAUGAAAAGAAAAAAAAAAUUGGACCAAACCCAAAAUAGAACAUUGUAGGUGAAGACAGUUCAAGGGAAUAGAAAAUUUGAUUCGGUUUAAAUGAAUAGAAAAUCUGGUUCAAAAAUUAGAAAAUAUUACUGGACGAAUCCAAGAACGAAUAAAAAAAAAUCGGAGCGAACACAAAAGAGAACAUGACAUGAUGAACCCACUCCCAACAAUGAAGUGGUCAAGUGGUACCCACUUUUAAAAAUGAAGGUGGUGAUAUCAAUCACAUGGGCAAGUUAUCGAGGAUUAAUAUAUUGAUAUAAUAUAAAUAAAUUAGUUUAAUUUCUAGAUGAAUGGUAGUGAUAUCAUUUGUUCGUUAUUUGUCACCCGUUUCGGCGAGAAUUUGUCAAAAUUUUAUUAGCGGACGGUCAGUUUUUGGUUGGCAUGAUGCUAUUUUCCAUUUGAGAGGAAGCCGCAAAAGAAGCUGGAUAAUUUUAGUAGGCGAUCCGCUGCUGUGUGUUAAUUUUGUUUUCAUCAAAUAAUUCAUAGGAUAUUUCUAAUACUAUAACUUUAAAAAACAAUCCCAAAGUAAAUAAUUAUAGUCCUUGAAUAGGGAUAAAAAUAACAUGGAAUGACAAAUGAUCGUGAAAUGACGGUUCCCACUCACUGCAGCAAAUCAUUUCCGACAUCUCAUCAGCUUCUUUCUGUGGCCGCAGCCUCAACUGCAGUUACAACGAUCCAUGCGAAGAGAAUCCUCUACAAACCCCAACCAGAGGAUGAGCUCAGUUACACACACCGCGCAAUUUCAGGGGCUUCAUUCUUCGCAAAUUGUUGGGAAUCCAUGUUUGCUGAUCAAGUUUGAUUUCACUUUGGUAAGUCUCAGCAACAAAUGGAAAAGGAGAUAGUAAACUUUCGCUUCAUGAACGAGUUUUAACCAUCAAAAUGAAGCAAAAUUAUACACAACUGAAUCCAUCUGUUUUCCUGCCAAGUUGGAAAGUUAACUGCUAAAGGCAUUCAGAGCUUGCGUCUUUUUUUCUGGAUUCAAUUGGUUUCUUUUGAAAUGCCCAUUUCGAUGGUGUGUUUAUAUCUAGGCGUCAGGGAUACUAACACGAGAUACGGAAUACGACACAACUCGGACACGGCGACUCGACAGUUUUUAAAGAAUUAGGACAUACUGAUAUGGCAUAGACACCGCUAAUAAAAUAUAAUAUUAUUAAUAUAAUAAUAUAUAUCUAUUUAUAUGAAAUAUUAAUUUUGGUAAAAUAUUAUUAUAUUUAUCAUACGAAUGAAAGUUAGUAAAAUUUUAAUUUAUAAUUCAUAUAUUUAUUUAUAUUGGCAAAAAAAAUUUGUAUGCAUUCAUUAAAAAGUUAAAAUAUAUAUCAUUUUAUAUUAUAUAUGUAUAAAAAAAUAAAAUAAAUAUAUGCACAUUUUUUUAAUUGUUUGCGCUGUGGAUCGGCAUUGAAUGUGCGUCUAUGGAGUGUCCACAUCGGACACGUGUCCGAUACGGACACGCGAGACUUAUAGAAGUAUCCGCGAUACAUAGGUCUAUAUGUUUGGUAUAUAUAUAUAUAUAUGUGCAUUAGAUAUCCCUUUUUAGGUCGUCACAAUAAGAUUUUACUAAAACAACAUCUUAACCACAUUGCUGCAACUUAAACUGAAAAUUCGAUACAGAGAGUAGAGGGAUUUUCAAAUCAUUGACCCUUUUCCUAGUUGUAACAUCUCUCUGCUAGUAGCAGAAACAUAUGUAGAACUUCAAUAAUAGACACUCGAUUUUAUCUACAUACCUAAUUGGUGUGCUUGGAGACCAAAAGUUUUCAGAGUAUUUGGCAAAGAAUAUUCAUACUGAUCAACAGUUAAAUUUGCAUAAUUAUUUCAUCUGUUUGGUAUGCAAUCCUCAUUUGGAGAACAACAGGAGCAAAAAAAAAAAAAAAAAAAAAAAGGAAAAAACCCCAAAAGGGACUUUUGCUAUGAAGACAAAGUUCUGAAGGGAUAAAAUUUUCUGUUCCUAAAUUACUCUGUUAACAAUUAUGUAAUAAAAUCUAGAGGUAAAUUAUGCGCUAUGAAUCCUAUGAUUCUUAUUAUACAAUUAUAUAUAAAGAUGAUUAAUGUUAGAGUAUAACUCCAAUAACAAGGUUAAAGUGAAUACGAAUAGCCUAACAGCUCUGUUUUGAUUUUGAGCUAUUCUCAUCAGAUUAUCAGAGUGAUUACAAAUUUUAUUAAUAAAUGAUUCUGAACUUCAAAUUUAUUUAAAAGUUUCAGUAAAGACAAGUUCAGGGGUGCUCAAAAAUGACCUACUCCUCACGAGGUUCUUCAUUUGUUUUUUAAUCCAACAAUCAAGGAGAGAUAACUGCAAAUGAAGUAAGAUAUAAGAUAACAAGAACCACUAAAUUAUUCUAAACCAACAAGAGGGAUAAUAAUUGAUCAUGUAAUUUUAUCAUCCAAACAAGACCCUCCAUAAACAGAUACAGUUAAACUAACAAACAGCAACUAAUGAGAUCAAUAAAGAAUAAAUGAAGACCUGAGAUUUGCAUUAGAUGGGAUUGGAGUUUUGAUUAAUACACACUCUCUUUGUUGGUCAAUUAAAAGUAUUACUACAUCACUCCUACCUCCCCUGCUAACAAUUAAUUUUCGUACCAUCUAACACUACUUCAGAUAUGAUAUCUUCUACAUGAUAGAUUAAUUCUACAUGACAUACAUCAAUCCUCCUAAACGUGGUCGGUUACACGCGUCAUCUCGACGCGUCACUGCUGCUGCUGCUGCUCGCACCGCCGCCGCCGCCGCCGCCGGAGUCGACAUUGGCAGCAGCAGGAUCUGAAAUGGAGGCUUGGUGAUUACUGUCGGCGACAAUGGUGUUUUCCGGUGGGGUUUGGUCGGCUGCAGCAGCGGUGAUAUGAGGCUUCUUGAUCCGGCCGCGGUGCAUGUGGCGCUCGCAGUACUUCUGGUCGGGGAUGACGUCCCGCGAGCACCGCCACUUCUUGCCGUCCGUCCGACGGCACCGCCCCGGCUCGGGCUCCGUGUUAUUCCAGAAAUCCAAGCACAGGUUUCCCAGUCCUAUCACUGCUUCCCACAACCGACGACAACAGCCGAAAUCAAUUCGAUUUACACCGCACACAUACAUACAUACAUUUAGGGCCUGUUAUGCUACUGUAGGAAAUAGUAUUCGUAUUUCAUACAGAAUUUAGACCAAAUUAAUCUUACUGUGAACAUCUCGUUAAAGAGAGGGUUUCUCCUAAAAUACUUUCUUCUAACAGCUUAGACCUACAACAAAAUCGGAAGCUUCAAAUUGAAGAUUCUGAGUUUAGACCUUAAAAUUGACACAUUUGCUAUCCCCUGCAGCUGAAGCUAGGGCUUUUUAUGGUUGCGAAAAGCGCUGUUACAAACACAAAUAAUAAACACAAUGGGGGCGCAAAGAACCACUAGCCACCUAACUUUUGGCAGGGUUUCAUUUGAUCCUUGAAAUUUUAAGCUCCAGAUUUAAAACACUAAACUUUUGAAUAUUACAUUAUUUUAGGUCUGUCUUAGCUUACUGUUUAAAAAAAAAAAAAUAAAUUAUAGCCAGUAUAUUCAUACACCAAACUGUAUUUAUCAUUUUGCUUAAACUCAUAUAUAAUGUUUAUGUAUAUCCAACAAUCCUUUAUAUUGCAGCUAAUGAGAUACACAAGACUUAUAGCUAGAUUAGGUGCAAGCAAUGAUUUCUUCUAAAUAAAAAACUAGAGAAAAAUAAUUCAAAAAGAAAAAAAAAAUCAGACUUAAACAAAACAUGACUAAAAGUAUAGAAACUGACAAUGCAAUUUAUGGAAAACAAAGGAAAAAAAAUAUAGUGUAGAGUUAUUAUAUUAUCGGAAGUAUAAAGUAGUUAGUGCUUCCGAUUUUUUAGCCAUUGGAUUAAAAAUUCUACGGUUAGGAUGAUAAUGGUCUCCCUAGGGUUGAGUAGUGUCCCUAGGGUUGAGUGGUCCCCAUUGAUUAAUAAUAUUAAUCCAAUGGUUAAAAAUGAUCAAAGAAGUUGAUCUAAGGGCUAAAAAUUGAAAGCACCAACCACUUUAUACUUCCGAUAAUAUAGUAGCUCUACUAAAAAAAUAUAUAGGUGAAGCAAUAAAGGGGAAAGCGGAAAAUAAAAUGAAAAUAAAAAUUGAUGGAAACAGUUUCCAACUUGACAUCAUUUCAUCCACCGUUCACGUAGCUCUAAAAUUCAGACGUGACUAACAGUGGAUGAGACCGUCUUGCAUUAGAACUAAAAAGGAUACUAACCUAAGCUAUGACAGUUCCAAAUUUUGAUUUUACUGUCCACUUUUAAAUUUAUUUAAUUUGAAUAAGUUGACACCAGUAAUCUGAUUUUAAAAUUUAAACUAAUUAUUUAUUUUAAUAAAUUUACAGCUGUAAAAACUACUCCACGAAGCAAAUUAACUAAAUAUGCAUGUAAAUAUAAAUGAUAUAUUCAAAUUUUUAAUUCAAAAUUUGAAAUCAAAUAUCGUUGACCUAUUCGAUUCAAAUCAAACAGAUUAAAUUUAUUAUAUUACAAUAAAUAAUUAACUUAAAUUGUAAAGUCAAAAUAUCAUUGACCGAUUCAAAUCAUUCAGAUUAAAAGACUAGAUAGCAAAAUUAAAAUUUUAAUAAAUUAAUAACUAUAAUUUAUGGUUUAGGCAAGUUUUAUACGUAUGGGCAGAAAUGUCAAAAUGCUAUGGAGACGGUUUUCAAUGUGAGACAAUCUCAUCCACCGUCCAUUAUGUGAACUCUAUGACACGAUGGGCAGUGGAAAGGACUGAACUGUCUAGAACUUUUUUUUUCUUUCUUUUAAAAAAAAUAUAGUAUGCUAUUGCUUCAUUCAUUAAACUACUGUUGCGGUAGAAUUUGUGAGGAGAGAGAAAAAAAAGAAAAAGGAGAAGGAAGAUGAAGGUACGGGAAGGGUAGCGGUGGGGGCCGACGGGGGAGGAGGCGACGCUCUUCCAGAUGGGGAGGAUGAGGUGGAUGGGGACGGCCACCCCCGUCGCCAUGUACUUGUAUAUCAGCGCCUGCCUCUCCAUCUCCUGCAGCUGCCCCACCGUAAACGACGCUCUCCUCCUAUUCCUCCUCCGACGAUUCCUCCUCUUCCUUUUAUUGCCCUCCUCUCCCUCCUCCUCCUCCUCCUCAGUCUCCUCAAUCCCUACCUCCUCGUCGGGACCAAGUCCUAACGAAAGUAUAACAAACAUGUAAGAAUGAUAACAAGCAAUUAUUAUAGUUCCAAAUCGAAACUAUAUAAAAAAAAAGAAUUACCUUGGACCGGAACGGAAGAAGAUGGUGAAGGAUCUUCCUCGUUUUCUAGUCUUAGUUUUUCUAGGGGUUUUUUUUUUUUUUUUUUUUUUUAGAGGCCGUAGCGGCCUAGCUAGAGAGGGAGUGAGAGUAGAAUCCGCUACCGGCGCCGCCUCCUCCUUCCCCUUUUCGGUCUCUUCUNNNNNNNNNNUGUAACGGUGAUAUGUGGCGGGUGGGGAUGAUGACAGGUGUGCCCCACACGUUUAAUGAGAAUGGUUGGUGUGAUAUACACGCCGCUCUGACACCGACCUGUGGGGCCCACGCGGCACUUCUCGGUAUCAGAGACCCGUCAGGGAGGAGUGUCUCAGAGAGACGGUGGAAAAAGAAAAUGCUAGCUGUACAACUUAAAAUAAAUAAAAAAAGUUAAAAUAGAGAUUUUUUAUUUUUUAAUUUUUAUUUUAUAUUCGAUCAGUAAUAAUUGAUUGAGCCUAAAUCAUCAUUCGAAAUAUUUAAGUUCAAUUAUUAUUAUUUGUGUCUGACGUCAAUAAAUUUAUUAUAUUUUUUUAAUUAUCUGAUGUAAAAUUAUUAGAAUGUCACGUUUUCAUAUUAAUAAGGAGGAUGAAAUAAUCAAAAUGUUCUUACUUUUUUAUAAUAAAAAAUUUAUUUUUAAAUAUUUUUUGUUAUUUUUAAAAAAUAUUUUUUUUAUAAUUUAUAGUCUAUAUACGGAACAAUAGCAAAAUCUUGACAUGGUGUGGCAAAGUGCAUUAACUUAAAAUUUGGAGAAGAUAAAAUAUUAAUUUUUGAGCGUUAAGAGAAAAGGAUAAAAAAUCAGUAUUUAUAUAAAAAAAAUAUUUUAGCUCGAAACAAAUCUAAAAUAUGGCAAUGAUAUUAUGUUAUUUAUGUCUCUAACCAAUCAAAUUUUUGGUUUGAUGCUCUCUAUCCCAUCCUUAAUUAUUUUUGACUAAUAUUAUAUUUUUUUCUCAAAAUGAGGAUUUGAUUAAUUGGAGACACAAUGACGUAAUGUCACAACUACGUAGAAGGCCACUGCUCAAAAAAAAUUAUAUA
rnacentral:lncRNA from 1 species